CAGCCAUCACGGUUCUGUAAUUUAUAUGUUUUAGUUAUUGUUCCCAGAUGACUAAGAGGACCAUUCUACACAACAUGACCUUUUAACUUUAGGCCCCAACGGGUUCUGUGGUUUGCAUGCAGCCUGGAGUCCUUUUGAGAAACUUUUGUUGAAAAUGUGUGGAGAUCUGAGGAAAUGAAACAGAAUUUCAAAGGUCUUCCCAUCUUUGUUUCCUCGAAGAGGCAAUGUGAAGAAAAGGACAGUGGUGACAAGUGAGGAAGGUGUUUGCUUCUCCUUCACCAUUUCAUCAUGCUUCUAAGUCUCCUGAGGCCUCCCAGUCAUGCUUCCUGUACAGCCUGUGGAACUUUCCAAUCAUCUAUCCUGAAGUUCUUACCAUCCAAAAAGAAUUCAUCGGCUUGCCUUGAUUUCCCCAGAUAAAAGGGACCCCUUCCUUCUCUGACCCACGAAGACACUCUGU
rnacentral:lncRNA from 1 species